GCCCCGGGCGGGCGGACGAAGGGGGGGCUCUGGGCCAAGCCAGGUCUAGCCGGAGCGACUGUGCCCCGCCUCCUGGGCGGAGCGGGCGGCUCCCCCAUGGUCAGAGCCUCGUGCCGGCUCGGCAGCGCCCGGACGCCGGGCCCAGCGCGUCGGCGCCCUGGCGUGCGGGCGUCUCACAGCCGCGGAGGGACCGCCGGGACCGUUUCAGCGUGGCGGCGCUGGUGCUGGCGUUGGUCCUGGAGGACGGCCCUGAGUGGUGGCUGGCGCCUGCCUCCCGGGUCUCUCCCGGCUACAGAUGGAGUCGUCCCGCGGCCGCCAGCGGCAAGGUCGGCAGCUGCGAGGCCAAGGGAGACCCCAGGACACACGCAGCUGCCUCCCGGUGCGAGAAGACGACCCCGGCUUGAGAGUGAGGUGUGCUGGGCGGAGUGGGGAGGACCUCGAGGUGCCCCGGCAACCAACCGUGUUCUAACCAACUGGCAAGUGGGAAAAGUUGACAUGAUGGCGUUUAAUGAUUGCUUCAGUUUGAACUACCCUGGCAACCCCUGCCCAGGGGACUUGAUUGAAGUGUUCCGUCCUGGCUAUCAGCACUGGGCCCUGUACUUGGGUGAUGGUUAUGUUAUCAACAUAGCGCCUGUAGAUGGCAUUCCUGCAUCCUUUACAAGCGCCAAGUCUGUAUUCAGCAGUAAGGCCCUGGUGAAAAUGCAGCUCCUGAAGGAUGUUGUGGGAAAUGACACAUACAGAAUAAACAAUAAAUACGAUGAAACAUACCCCCCUCUCCCUGUGGAAGAAAUCAUAAAGCGGUCAGAGUUUGUAAUUGGACAGGAGGUGGCCUAUAACUUACUUGUCAACAACUGUGAACAUUUUGUGACAUUGCUUCGCUAUGGAGAAGGAGUUUCAGAGCAGGCCAACCGAGCGAUAAGUACUGUUGAGUUUGUGACAGCUGCUGUUGGUGUCUUCUCAUUCCUGGGCUUGUUUCCAAAAGGACAAAGAGCAAAAUACUAUUAACAAUUUACCAAAGAGAUAUUGAUAUUGAAGGAAUUUGGGAGGAGGAAAAAAAACCUGGGAUAAUACAACUGAAGGACUCAAAGCCAAUAAAUAAAUGGCAGAGCCAGAAUUCAAAGGAGAAUGGACUACCUCUUGGCCUGUGUACCUUUGACAGCCUAACGGUGUCUACUGAGAAAUGUGCCCUGAAUCACAAAUAUGAGACAGGACAUUUUGGAGGCUAUGUGUCUCUCUUCAUUUUUAUCUUUUCAAACAGAGAGAAGCCUAAGAUUAAAUCAUUCAUCAAAUAAUGUUAGUAUUUCUAAUUCUCCCAAAGCAAAUUCUACCUGGAAUUCAUUCUUCAAGGAGGACAGAGAAAUGUGGAGACAGUCUUUAUCAAGUUGUGAAAUACAGCAAACUGUAAAGGGUUGUUUGGAUUAAAGGGUUGUUUGGAAAAGCUGGGUCAGAGUCUAGCAGAAAACCUGGCUCUUUUUCUCACGGCUGCCACCACUCCGAUCCAGGAGAACUAACUCUUCUCCAUCCCUUGACCUGGAAGGCACUUGAUUUUGAAUGAUAUGUUUAUUAAUUUUGAGAUGGAGUCUUGCUCUCUCAGGCUGGAGUGCAGUGGCACAAUUUCAGCUCA